rnacentral:rRNA from 1 species
AUGGCCGGAGCCUACGUGCGCACGGCGAUCAUGCUCGCGCUCGGCUGCGCGCUGGCCAUCGCCGCGGACGCUCUGGAGCCGAGCGGGUGGGUGAGGGCGCACGCCACCUUCUACGGCGGCAGCGACGCCUCCGGCACCAUGGGCGGUGCGUGCGGGUAUGGGAACCUGUACGCGCAAGGGUACGGCACGCGGACGACGGCGCUGAGCACGGCGCUCUUCAGCGACGGCGGCGCGUGCGGGCAGUGCUACAAGGUGGUGUGCGACCGCAAGACGGACAAGACGUGGUGCAAGCCCGGCGUGUCCGUCACCGUCACCGCCACCAACUUCUGCCCGCCCAACUGGGACCUCCCCAGCGACAAGGGCGGCUGGUGCAACCCGCCGCGCCCCCACUUCGACAUGGCGCAGCCCGCCUGGGAGAAGAUCGGCGUCUACCGCGGCGGCAUCAUCCCCAUCAUCUACCAAAGGGUGCCGUGCGUGAAGAAGGGCGGGGUGCGGUUCACCAUCAGCGGCCACGACUACUUCGAGCUGGUGCUGCCGACCAACGUGGCGGCGGCCGGCUCCAUCAGGGCCAUGGACGUCAGGGGCUCCAAGUCCGGGCGACUGGAUGGCGAUGGCGCACAACUGGGGCGCCAACUGGCACUCGCUCGCCUACCUCAACGGCCAGGGGCUCUCCUUCAGGGUCACCAUCACCGACGGCCAGACGCUCGUCUUCGCCGACGUUGUGCCGCCCAGCUGGAGGUUCGGCCAGACCUUCUCAAGUAA